UUAUCUACUAUCUAGCGAAACCACAGCCAAGGGAACGGGCUUGGCAAAAUCAGCGGGGAAAGAAGACCCUGUUGAGCUUGACUCUAGUCUGACUCUGUGAAGAGACAUGACAGGUGUAGCAUAAGUGGGAGCUUCGGCGCCAGUG
rnacentral:lncRNA from 1 species